rnacentral:pre_miRNA from 1 species
GAGGGGAGGCCGGAUCCUGGGCUGUGUCUCCAGCACCCUCUGCUCCCGGCCUGCGCUGUUGGAUUCGCGCUCCCGGCCCCGCAGCCCCUU